rnacentral:lncRNA from 1 species
AAAUAUGGGUGUAGAAAGAUAGUAUCAACUGGGGAAUGGGUGGGUCAAAAUGGCCCAGAGAGCCACAAUUGGCGGCUGGGUGGGUUGCCGGAAUUCAGAAAAGGGAUUGCCGGAGGGUGGAGAACUGAAAAGGUGAAACUGAAGAGAAGGCAUGACCAAUCCACGACGCAGAUUGCGACAACCCGACGACGCAGCCGCUCUUGAAGGUUUGGCAACUUGACCACGGUGCUCGUGAUGACCCACCCCUACCCCCACCCCCACUACGUUGCUCGCGACGAUUCAACGACCCUGCUCCCAAUAUCCGACGAGAGAGGUACUAGUAACCAUGGCAACUGAUGGGUUAUGAAUCUUGUGCUAUUCUGGACUUGCAUCCAAAAUAGAAAUCCUGUGCAUGAUAAGUUGUAGGGAAUGGGUGGGUCGAAAUGGCCCUAAGAGCCACAAUUAGCUCUCUCUACUCUCUGAGCAAUAUUGUCUUCUCAAAACAAAAUGAUGCUCUUACUGAACACACGCUCUGCCUUUGAAUUUUCCACAAAACAAAAGCUUUUUGCUUUUCUCCCCAAAACAAGAAAAGACAUAAUGAUGUUGUCCCCUAUUAUUUGCUCUUUUUCUAUUUGGCCGAAAGUAGCUUUGGCCUUUAGCCACUAGUUCAACAUCAUCGUCUUUCUUGUGGACAGGGGAGGAAAUCACAGGGCCAACGAGCAGCCACGGCUAGAAAACAAGAAUGGUGGAGGCAGUCCUAGGAGGAAGAUGGGGAUGUUCAUGGAAUUGGGCAUGAAGAAUUGAAAAACGACGAGAUAAAGAGCAUAUCGGUGGUGACAGUUUCUGGAAUGAUGAUCAGAAUCAAGUCUGGUUGUUGUCAGGGUAGGUGGUUGGGUGGGUUGACGUGUUUGUGUAAUUUUUUUUAAGUAUGUAAAUUUUGUAUUUGAAGGUAAAAUGGUAAGUUUGUGGGACAAAAUUUUUAAGUUGGGUGUGGAAAGAGA